UUCUGUCUAUGUAUCUUUCUCUAUUAAGUCUCAAUUUCUUUGACUCGGAUGGAUUUUGUGAAUUUAUGAUUGUUCCAAUUUGAUUAAAGUCGAUGGGGGUUUGACUUUUGAUUUGUCGAUGCUUAUAAAGAAGGGAAAGUUUGAUUUUUGUUCUGAAUUCUCGAUGCUUGGAGGGACGAUUAUGGGUUUUGAGAGUCCAAUUAUUAUUGUUUCUUCACUUUCCAAUUUCUAAGAUUUGUUAAAAACAAACUACAUAUCUUUAUCAGUCAACAAUAAAAUAUAUAUUUGCUAAUGAGGCAUAAAACGCUUGCUUCUCUUAUUUUUUUUCCCUUUCUUAUUGUCAAUGUCUUGAGGAUUUGUUUACUUGGGUUGUCACAUAAUCAUAAAUAAUUUGUACUAAGUCAAAAUUCCUCUGAUAGCAUAUUCACAAAGAGUAAAAGAAUAGAUUAUUUCAUUAUCUCUUCAUUCUUCAUCAUGGAUCAAAUGUUUUUUUGUUGUUGUUCUUUUGUGCUGAUUUCUUCAAAGAUUCUUUUUUCCAGAUGGAACCUGCUGAUUUUACUCAAACUCAAGAUUUUCUAGAUUUCCUACAAUGGCAAUCUAAUCGAAAUAAUAAUCAAAGCCCAACCUCAUCUGCUGCACAUCUGCACCAAGUACCUCACAACGUUCAUGAGACCGAAGACUCAUCAGCAACAUUCUCAGAAAUGUCAAUCACUGACUUGCUUUUGACUCCGGGACGGGAAUCCAUGACGGUGCUCCACCCUACUCGUGCUGGCAACACAACAUGGUUUAGUUAUGAUACACAAAUCAACUAAGUCGGUGUUGCAGAUGAUGAAGUCAGAUCUCCCAAUGUUCUGUGCAAAAUAUUCUGAACUCCCCGAGAAAACUAAACGACAAUGGUUCAAAUCAUUUGCGCAAGAAUAUAAUUGGAAUCUCACAUAUUCGCAAUCUGUACGAAAGAGUUAUGAUAGAGUUGCUAAAUCAGUAUUUAAGAACCAACUAUAUUCAUGGAAAAAGGGAUGGAAAAAUGGGAAAGGACAUCCCAAAUGGAUGACGAAUGUUGAUAUGUGGAAUGGAUAUGUCAAAUACUGGAAAAGUGAGAUGGCGGAGAAAAUGGCUAAUAAAAACAAAGGCAAUCGAAACAGCAAUCGCGGAGGUGACGGUCCAGCAGCACACACCACAGGCUCUAAGUCUUAUGCAAGACGUUUCGAUGAAAUGACAAAAGAAGCUGGUGAACCUCCAAACAUGGUGGCUUUUAUGAUUGACACACAUACAAGCUAGAAGACCAACACCAUUAUUGACAAAAAGGCUGCACGGAUCGCUGAGAAUGUUUCUGAGAAAGAACAAAAUAUUCUUUCUGAAGAGACACAAGAUGGAUUGGUACAAUCUAACUCGCUUUCCCAAUCUGAAAUGAACGAGCUUUUUUUUCAGGAGAUUAAGGAUAAUAAAAGAAGUCAUUUUGGCUUCGGUAGUCUUCCACACUUCAACAAAUCCUCCUCUAAAUUCUCAGAUACUUCUAGUUUGGUAAUGCAAGAAGAGUUGAAGGCUGCGAACUUAAAGAUAUUAGAAAUGGAGAAAGCACAAGCAGAACAAGCUAAAGCGCAGGCUGAGCAGGCAAAAGCGCAAGCACGGCAAGCCAAAGAGCUCGAUUAUUUCAGGAAAGUGUUAUUCAAACAAUUUCCCUACUUGGUUCCUCCAAGUGUUGAGGCUUUGGAUGGAGAUGAUAAUUAGUAUGUGUAUUUAUUAACAUUCUCUAUGUAUUGACUUUUCUUUUCACUUUAGUUAUU